AUGAGUUUGGACUCUCUUGCUGAUGGCACCCAUUCACUGCAGAGGAUCCAUUGGGACUUUGAGGCCAGUGUGGAUGGAGCUCAUUGUUUGAGGGUGCUGUGUUCGCACCCCUGCUGCUGGGACACCGAGCACCGUUGCACCAGAGGAAUCAAACACCACACUCCCGUACGCGUGAGGAAACACUCUCUCAAAAAUGAGGACUUUCCAUCUCUGAGUAUUGUCAAUGUCUCUGAAUGGGCUGGACGGGGGAGACCGGUUAAAGGAAGGCCACUGGAUGGUGCAGACACAGACACAGAGGCGUCGUUGAAUGAUGUUUCUCUCAGCAAACAGACACAAGACACUCAGAAGAUUAAGAGGGCAAAUCUUUCCUUCCCAGACAUCAUGUUGCCCAGCGAUAAACCAAACAAUCUGCUCAAGUUAAAUACAGUUGACAUCAGUCCUUUGAUGGGCCGCUCUGAGUUGCCACAGUGUCCUGUGGUUAUGUGGAUUCCCAACCCGCACCAUGAGCCUCAGUGGCUCCGCCAAAACAAGUCUAAAUCUCCAAACAUCACGAUAAAAGAGUUAGUCUGCCUUCCAUCUUGUCAAAUGGCAAAGCCGUCCAUAGCGGCCAACCAGAGGAAGAAGUGUAACAGUCAUAAAAGGAGAGGGAAGACAGGAAUUAACUCUACACAAGAGGGCGCUGGCAGCCCACGGUGGGUGGGCAUUGGCUUUAAUCCCAUUCCCAAAACCACCCCACAUCACCUCUGCCACAGCCUAGUAUUCAAAGAUAGUGGGUGGGGAUCAUUGGAUCAAAAACUGCCAAGCCUAACCACACCACACCCAAACCCAAAGAGCAGUAGUGUCAGUCCAGCCUGGAGCCUGAGUUUAGGAUCAAUGCAGUGCUGGAGAGGCCACUGAAACACACCUAAACAGAUCUCAUACUUACGCCACAUUAAGAAGACAAAGGGUUUUAAUCGUAAAUGGAAAAUCUGUUCCAUAAGUAGUUAGUCUUGUCCAGUGAUUCAGUGCACUUUGUCUUGAAAGUCUAUUCCUGUUUUAAACAUAGACAACAAAUAAAUAAAAUGUAGCCUGCA
ensembl:lncRNA